GAAACAGAAAGCACCUUUGGAGUUGCAACCAACAACUCUGGAGGUGAAACAGUUUGACAAAAGGAUCAAAAGAUCGCUCAUUUGAGAAUCCUCAUUUUGUCCUGAGGACAACCCUGGGAUAUAGGUGAGGCUGGCUGGCCCAAAGUCAUCAGAGAACUUCCAAGGAUAAGAGAGGACUUGGUCCUUGCUCUCCCCAAUCCCAGACCAACAUCUUUACCAAGACAACACAUUGGAUCCUGAGAUUCUAGAACCCAAAGAGAAAGGAAGCUAUGGUGGAAACUGUCCUAGAAGCUUGGACAGUUCUCUUGGUGAUCUUCGCUGCAGUGCUAAUCAUGACCAUCCUGAUGUUUCUCCUUCCUGCUGUUGUACUGCUCUUGAGAAUGAGGUCUUUGUCACAAAUCUCUUUGGAUGGAAUUGUCUAGCCUGCCUCUUUACAAAGUGCUGGGUGAUUUUAGACACCUUGGACUGCUUGAGAAUUAAGACCAGGGAGAGGAAGCAAUAUCCAAACCUGCCAUUUAUAAAACAAAACUUGAUACCCUGGACUUACCUUACUCUUUGUUUGCAUUAGAUACCUGAGAUCAUUUAAUGAGAGGCUA